UACGUAGGCGGAAAAUUAAGUCAGUAGUGAAAUCCUGCAGAUUGACUGUAGAACUGUUAUUGAUACUGGUUUUCUUGAAUAUAGUUGAGGUAGGCGGAAUGUGUAAUGUAGCGGUGAAAUGCUUAGAUAUUACACAGAACACCGAUUGCGAAGGCAGCUUACUAAGCUAUGAUUGACGCUGAGGCACGAAAGCGUGGGGAGCGAACAGGAUUAGAUACCCUGGUAGUCC
rnacentral:rRNA from 1 species